GCACAAAUAGGUCAAUGGUUGGGGAAGGUGACGUGCAAAUUUGCCUUCAGGUGGAGCAUGUAGCGGCAUACUAGCGUCAGCCCACAGCUGGUGAGAGAUGGGACGCCAGCAAUGUCAUUGUGUUAAGGUGUUCAGUGUUCUCCACAGCGGGCUGAAGAGGCCGGAGUUGUCAGGCAAGAGACUGACUUGUCUGCUUGUACUUGAAAUGGAUUCGAAGAAACACAUGCAUUUGUCGAGGGGAAAACGCUUUCAAGGAGAGACCAUUUGAUGCUAAAAGGACCAUUUGAUGCUCUUUUAACCCUCUUGGUUUUAUUCAACUCCUUUCAUUACUUUCUGUUCCUGGCACCUUACCGAAGGAAGAAUAUGCCAAGAGUUUGAAUGAUGAAAGAGUAUUCUAUAUUUUUAGCUAUAUUUGCAUUUUACAAGUUUAUUUGAAAGAUAGUUUUGUGCAGUUAAUCUUUUUUUCUGUUUAAAUUAUUUUGAAAAUCUUAAAAAUAUCAUUUUUAGCCUUUUAAAUAAAUAUCAAAAUGCCCAUUACAAAAGGCUUCUUCAAUUCCAUGUAAGAAUUUAACUGUAAUAUGAACCAGGCUUAGAUGACGUCUAUAAAUUAGCCCAAGAAAAUUCCUGUAAUUCCUGGCUAUGAGGUUGUUUCUGAGGGGUGGUGGAUUUCUGGUCAUCCCAUAUUUCCUCAAUGCCUCCUACUUCAAGAGUAGAAAAUAUCGAUAGCGUCGCUGCUCAUGGGCAAAGGCCCAGUUGUCCUUCAGGAUGAUCUCAGUUCUGAUGAAUAUUUGGGUCUAUGAAAAGAAAAUUAUAGAAUAUUAAAA
rnacentral:lncRNA from 1 species